rnacentral:misc_RNA from 1 species
GAUGAAGAACGUAGCGAAAUGCGAUAAGUAGUGUGAAUUGCAGAAUUCAGUGAAUCAUCGAAUCUUUGAACGCACAUUGCGCCCCUUGGUAUUCCAUGGGGCAUGCCUGUUCGAGCGUCAUUUGUACCUUCAAGCCUUGCUUGGUGUUGGGUGUUUGUCUCGCCUCUGCGCGCAGACUCGCCUCAAAACAAUUGGCAGCCGGCGUAUUGAUUUCGGAGCGCAGUACAUCUCGCGCUUUGCACUCAGAACGACGACGUCCAAAAGUACAUUUUUACACUCUUGACCUCGGAUCAGGUAGGGAUACCCGCUGAACUUAAGCAUAUCAAUAAGCGGGGA